CGCCCACUACUCCCCCUCAGGUCCGGAUCCACCUCUCCCCUCUCCUCUGGCUCGAUUUUGACAUCGCAAACUCACACGGUCGCGGUUUCCCCGCCAUCGUUGACGCAUCCACCGGCCUCUCCGGCGCUCGGGAGCACGUCCUGGGGGUUUGUCGUGUUCGUCCACGUCCGUUCAGGGCAUUGGAGCAAGGCGGGAAGCUGAGUGGACGGAGCUGACGACCUCUUCAUCCUCCUCUCAUCUCCGUCGCGUACAUCGCCGGCGUCCGUCACCAAAUCCGGCCGCCUCUGCCGCUCCUAGCCUUCCAACGAGCCACCGUGUGCUCCUACGUAAGCCCCCCAACAUUUCUCCUCUUCUAUCACGGUCGAUUUCGUCCUCUAGCCGCCUUCUCCAUCUAGCCCGUGGCUGCGCCAUCGCGGAAGUCGAUGCUGUCGACUGCUCCGGCCGUCCCUGCUUGUGCCGCGUGCACCGAAAGAUGCACCUCAUCGUGCUCGUUCAAUAGGAGGUCGCGACCGCCCAUUUGGUCACCAGGACCACCAGCCCCGUGCAUCGCCGCUGCCGUCGUGUGCUCGCCGUAGCAGCCGCCGGAGCUCUGCUCCCGCGCGCCAUGCCUCGCUCUCUGGCCGCGCACUGGCGUCCCCACGCCAGUCAGCGCGCGCCCGCGCAUGGAGAUGCCCCCGCCGCACUCUGUUGCUACUGCUGCUCCAUGUCGCUGCUCUGCUAUUGCGUACUCUGCUGCUAGCUGCGUUGCCACCACUGCUUACUAUUGGUGCUGCUGCUAGCUGCCGCCGCCGCCGCUCCUGCUAGUGCUGUUUUGCUUUUUUUUUUUUUGAGGGAAACUAGUGCUGUUUUGCUGCUAACACUGCUCCUGCUGUCUGCUGCCACGAACUGCUACUACUACUAGCCAUGGCCACCGGUGGCUUCUGUUCGUGCGUGUGUGCGUGUUCCUGGCCGGCCACAGGGAACGGUCCAUCUUGGGCCACUGCCUAAUAGGCCUUCCCCAAUAACUAGAUUAGAUUUAAUUAGUGGUUAAUUAGGCGGGUGGCCCUAUGACAGGUGGAGCCAACCCUAAAUAUAUUUUAAAGAAGUGAUUUUUUAAAACUGUUUGAAUGACACCUGGGCCCCAUCUACCAGAGUUGACCAGUCAACAGUCAACUCUGUUGACUGCUGACUGGGCUGUUGACUAAGUCAACUAGACCCACUGGCCCCACCUGUCAUCCAUUGUUGGUAGCCCAUGGUGGAUAUACAAAGUAUUUCCAGUUUAUUUUCGAAUUAAUAAUAAUUCCAGUAUUAACAAAAUUUAAUAAAACUUUAGAAAAUCAUAUAAAAUAAUCCGUAACUCGGAUGAAAAUAUUUUCUACAUGAAAGUUGCUCAGAAAAAUUCAAUGAAUCCGAAUACGCGGUCCAUUCAUUUGUCACAUGCCCCUAGCAUGCUGAACAUGGAACUUUCCCCCUCUUUUCCUCUGUCUGGAAAACGCCAAACACCGGAAAACCCUCCGGAUGUUUUCCCUCUCCGUCUGCAAUGCGUAGUACUGCGUUAGACCACCCCUAGUUCCUCUUUUCGUCACGUCAUGCUUAGUGGUACCUAUGUUUGCUCUGUAUUUACUGUUUCUUCCCCCUCUUCUCUCUGGUAGACCCCGAGACCGAUGAUACCCCCGUGAUCGACUACGUCGAUGACGACCCCUCCUUGCCAGAGCAACCAGGCAAGCCCCCCGUUUGAUCAUCCCGAUAUCGCCCAUUCCAUUCUCCCAUGCUUGCAUUAGAUUUUGCUACUGUAAUUGUUUGCUCCUAUUCUGAUGUAUAGCCUGCUUUUGUAACCUGCUUAUUGUUACCUACCUUCUUAUCCUAAACUGCUUAGUAUAGGUUGGUUAGUGAUCCAUCAGUGACCCCCACCUUGUCCUUGUUGCCCCUGCUUCAUCAUUGAAGACCCGAUCAACGGGAUCGAAGACCAGGCCCCGACACCGCACAUCACUUUCCCCUUAGUUGCUCGACUCUACUGGGUUACUAUUGAGUGCCGAGGGUGAGACCUCUACAGCACUUCUGAUGUUAACCCUGUAGUGUAGCUAUUCGGUCAUGGUCAUCGAGGGUGAUUCCGCCUUAACCACUUCCGAUACGACUCUGUCAUGCAACCCCUCAAGUGUGAACCUCGGGGGUGGUUCCUCUUACGUUCACCUUGAUGAUUACAUCGAGUGGAAUUCAACGGGGGUGAUUCCUCGGGUUUUCCCCUUGAUGUUUGGACACAUGGAUACUUGGACUUUACAACUGUUGCUUGGAAAGGCGGGUCGACCCUGAGGGGUACCCGCGAGUGAUGUGGAGACGGGUUGACCUGGAGGGUGCCCGCGAGAUAAUUACGAGGCGUGGCCGGGCAUUCCUAGCCCUUGCUGCAAGUCCUCGAGACGGGGCAACGAGGUCACAUCUUUCGUGAGUCUCUGCUUGUUACCGCGUGCUCCUAAUCCAUUACAAUUUGGAUAUUUGAUCCGAGGGGCCUCUGGCCUGAUAGCACUAACCAUCAUGUGGGCAUAGUAUGAGCGUUCUGCAUCGUAUGCAUCAGCCGAAGCUUAAUAGACGUCAGCGACUGAGCGGCGCGCGCCGGGUUGGACUGGUAAGCACCUGCCUUUUUGAAGGAGGUAGCUAGGUCUGCUCACCGGCCGCGUACGCAACGUGCAGGAGUUCCCGGGGAGAUGGCCCAUGACCCGUGGGGGCAUAGGUUUAGUCCGGCGUGCUGACCUCUCUAUUAAGCCUAGGUCGGGUUGCGGCGUAUUGUUUGGCCGAGGCCGGGCAUGACCCAAGAAAGUGUGUCCGGCCAGAGUUAAUCGAGCGUGGUGGGUACGUUGGUGCAUCCCUGCAGGGAAGAAAACAUCUAUCGAUAGUCUGACCUACGGUAACGAACACUUGGAGUUGUAUCCCGAUCGAUACAACUAGAACUGGAUACUUGUGAUGAGAAUUUGAUGGUGAUGAGAAUUGGAUUGUGAUGACAAUUGGAUAGUAUGGCUCUGGGAUUGCUUUCUCGCAGGGAGUCGAGAAAGGAUCUCUGGCCGAGGUUGAUAACACUACUACUACUUUACUUUAUGCUACUCCACUCCCUCCUGUUGCUGCAAGAUGGUGGUUUCCAGAAGAUGCUAUUCUUCGAUAGGACUAGGUCGUCUCUCUAUUCUGGCAUUUCUGCAGCCCAGUCCACAUAUACAGCUUUCCUUUGAUAAUGUUGCAUAUGUAGUGUAGAUCCUUGCUUGCGAGUACUUUGGAUGAGUACUCACGGUUGCUUUGCUCCCCAUUUCCCCCCUUUCCUUUUUCUUUCCGGUUGAUGCAACUAGAUGCCGGAGCCCAGGAGCCAGAUGCCACCGCCGGUGCCUACUACUACGUGAAGACCGCUGACGACCAGGAGUAGUUAGGAGGCUCCUAGGCAGGAGGCCUUGCCUUUUCGAUCGUAGAUGCUUUUGUGCUAGCCUUCUUAAGGCAAACUUGUCUAGCUUAUGUCUGUACUCAGAUAUUGUUGCUUCCGCUGACUCUUGUGUAUUCGAGCUUAUGUAUUCGAGCCCUCGAGGCCCCUGGCUUGUAAUAUAAAGCUUGUAUUAUUUUAAUUUGUGUUUAGAGUUGUGUUGUGAUAUCUUCUUGUGAGUCAUUGAUCUUGAUCGUACACAUUUGCGUGUAUGAGUAGUGUACGAUUGAAUCGAGG
rnacentral:lncRNA from 1 species